rnacentral:lncRNA from 1 species
UGGGGUGCCGUUUCAGAUGGCAGCACCUGGUGGGCUCAAUGUCAGGAAAGACCGAGGAAAAUCUUUGUGCACAACUUGUUGACGUCAUCUGUCAACUGCAGCUAGUUCCGUUUUGAAAUCUUUAGGCUCUGCCCAAGGCACUCCUGAGAAACAAGCUCCCCAAAUGGUGAGAGAAAAGGCUAUGCUACCUACACUCAUAUUCCAGAGACACUGAGUUAGUAUGAGGCCACAGAUGCCGUCUUGGGAAAUGAUUCUUCCUCAAGAUGACAUGCACAGGUCCAUGUGUACACCCAGGCUCACUCUGGGCCGAGAAACUGUGCAUAGAUGCACAUACC